AUUGAACGCUGGCGGCAUGCCUUACACAUGCAAGUCGAACGCGAAAGCGGGGCAACCCGCAAGUAGCGUGGCGAACGGGUGAGUAAUACAUCGGAACAUAUCCAGUAGCGGGGGAUAACCUGUCGAAAGAUAGGCUAAUACCGCAUACGACCUACGGGUGAAAGCGGAGGACCGCAAGGCUUCGCACUAUUGGAGGGGCCGAUGUCGGAUUAGCUAGUUGGUGAGGUAAAAGCUCACCAAGGCGACGAUCCGUAGCUGGUCUGAGAGGACGACCAGCCACACUGGAACUGAGACACGGUCCAGACUCCUACGGGAGGCAGCAGUGGGGAAUUUUGGACAAUGGGCGCAAGCCUGAUCCAGCUAUGCCGCGUGAGUGAAGAAGGCCUUCGGGUUGUAAAGCUCUUUCGGUGGGGAAGAAAUGGUUCGUGCUAAUACCACGGACUGAUGACGGUACCCGAAGAAGAAGCACCGGCUAACUACGUGCCAGCAGCCGCCGCAGUAA
rnacentral:rRNA from 1 species